CCUACGGGAGGCAGCAGUGGGGAAUAUUGGACAAUGGGCGAAAGCCUGAUCCAGCCAUACCGCGUGUGUGAAGAAGGCCUUCGGGUUGUAAAGCACUUUCAGUGGGGAAGAAAGCCUUGGGGCUAAUACCCUCGAGGAAGGACAUCACCCACAGAAGAAGCACCGGCUAACUCCGUGCCAGCAGCCGCGGUAAUACGGAGGGUGCGAGCGUUAAUCGGAAUUACUGGGCGUAAAGCGCGCGUAGGCGGUCUGAUAAGCCGGUUGUGAAAGCCCCGGGCUCAACCUGGGAACGGCAUCCGGAACUGUCAGGCUAGAGUGCAGGAGAGGAAGGUAGAAUUCCCGGUGUAGCGGUGAAAUGCGUAGAGAUCGGGAGGAAUACCAGUGGCGAAGGCGGCCUUCUGGACUGACACUGACGCUGAGGUGCGAAAGCGUGGGUAGCAAACAGGAUUAGAUACCCUGGUAGUC
rnacentral:rRNA from 1 species